rnacentral:rRNA from 1 species
CAAAUGACCUCAAAUGAAGCAAGACCACCCGCUGAAUUUAAGCAUAUUAUUAAGCGGAGGAAAAGAAACUAAACAGGAUUCCUCUAGUAACUGCGAGUGAAACGGGAAGAGCUCAAACUGAAAAUCCUUACAGGCUCCCUGGAAGGAAUUGUGGUUUAUAGAAGUAUUCUCAACAUGUGGCGAUGGCUUAACUCUGUUGGAACACAGGUGUCAUAGAGGGUGAGAACCCCGUCUAGAGCUGUCAGUCUACUGUGUACGAGAUACUUUCAAAGAGUCGGGUUGCUUGGUAAUGCAGCCUUAAAUGGGUGGUAAAUUCCAUCUAAAGCUAAAUACCUGUGGUAGACCGAUAGCGCACAAGUACCGUGAGGGAAAGGUGAAAAGGACUUUGAAAAGAGAGUCAAAUAGUACUUGAAACUGUCGAGAGGAGAAGGUUUCGGGAUUAUUUACAUGGCAUAUUCCUUAGUAUAUAUGUCUGGGAUGAUUUUAUGUUGGCAAGCCUUGUUUUUAGAAUGAGGUGUUAAUAUGAAAUGUUGAACAGAACAGUAUAUGAUUGGUGUAUGUGUCGAUGUCAGAAUGGAUUUGAGUUGAGAUAAAGCGAUUGUGAGAAGGUAGUGUCAUUCGACAUGAAUGCUCAUGAUCUUGUAUCUUGAAUCUUGGAUCAAGGAACGAUUCGUCGGAUUCUGACUAAAUGAUCCUGAUUCUCCCGUCUUGAAACACGGACCAAGGAGUCUAACGUGUGUGCGAGUAGUAAGGUGUGAAAACCUUGGUGCGUAAUGAAAGUGAAGACUCGUUUCGGCGUAGUCGAGAUGCGACACUCGUCAAGAGUAGCUGCAUCGCCCGGUUUCUUCAUUGUAAGAGAUUCGUGGACGAGCACAUAUGCUAGGACCCGAAAGAUGGUGAACUAUGCCUGGGCAGGGUGAAGCCAGGGGAAACUCUGGUGGAAGCUCGUCGCGCAACUGACGUGCAAAUCGUUCGUUCGACUUGGGUAUAGGGC